UCACCCAGCCCAGCCUGCCGAUCCACGCCAGUCCGUUAGUCGUCUUACAGCGAUAACAGCUCGGCGUGUUUUUGAGCCACCUGCCUGUCCACCUGCCCGCCUGGAGUUUGAUCACUGUCAAUAGCCUUCUCCUCGCCUUCCUGGUGCUCCCCGCGGACCCUCACCCCUCCCUCCGGCUUCCACGGCCCCGCUUUGACUCCUCCCACGGUCCCGUUCCCGGCGUUCCUGCGCGACUCUCUUCCCGGUGCCUCGUUUUCUCUAGUUUCACGUGUGUUGUUCUUUUACCCUCCCGGGACACCCUUGGUUAAA